rnacentral:lncRNA from 1 species
UGUUUAUUUUAUUUUCAUGUGAAUUGAUCCUAUUUACUAAAUACAAAUGGAUUUAAUAAACAUUGUUGAUUCAUGGCAUGAAUGCUGUAUGACAAAAAGUCCAUAUAUUUGGGGGCAGGGUGUCAGAUGAACUCUGAGGAUCUUGCUAUGAAACUGACCAUCUAUAUGAUUCAGGUGUCCCAUUUCAUUGAUAUAUGUGUAUACAUAUGUAUACACACACACACACACACACACACACACACACACACACACACACACACGCAGUAGAGGGAAGGGGUAGUAGUUAAAUAGAGGCCCUUGACAAGUAGCACUGGAUUGCCUUAUCCCCUCUGAAUUCCUUCUAUAAUGUCAACUGAUACACAAGACUGCUCUGUGAUAACUAUAUUGAUAUCAGCCACAUCAAAUGUGCAUCAGUGAAGGCAGAGUAGUUUUAGUACUAGUGAGUGGUGAGUAAAUGACCACGUAAAAGCCACAGUACACUGUAGGUUUACUAGAUAAAUGCAUAGUUGAAUACUUGAAAUUCCAGGUUGUUCUUUUGUUUGGUUUUUGUUUUGAUUUGGUCUUUUUGUUUGUUUUCUACUUGUUAUUUUUUUAGUUUUCGUUUGGUUUGGUUUCUCUGUAUUAACAGCCUUAUGUGUCCUGUAACUUGCUCCCUAGACCAGGCUAGCCUCAAAUUCAUAGAGAUAUGCCUGCCUCCAAAGUGCUGGGAUUCAUAUACGCCACCAUGUCCGGAAUAGUAUACCUUCUUGUGUUUCUGUUCUCUUCUUUCUUCAUAUCCUCCCUUCCCAAGACUUUCCUUGUUAACUUUGAUGGGUAAAUCGACCAUUCCCCUGAGUAAUUCCAAUGUUUUUCAUUUUAACCUUGCCUCCUUACUCCAAACUUCACACACACACACACACACACACACACACACACACACAUCUAUCACAGAUAUAGAUAUACUCAUCAGUAUGUGAUUGGACAUAAAAUUGCUCCCAAUGAAAACUGUUGUAUCUAAAUUUGUAAAUGCCAUAUGACUAGUAACCCUCAAUACCCACACAUUGCAAUUUAUAAGAAUUAGCCUAGGAGAUGAUGUCUUUGUGUUAAAAUCUCCUUAUUGGCCAACAGUAGAUGUAUGAUUCUUACAAUCUCUGAAUUUCAAAGCUAAAUCCUUAAACAUGGGCUCUACCACCACCUAACUACAUCCCAUUCACUAUAAUCACACUUGUCCAUCCUUAUAUACAUUAGAGUCAAACUAAUGGAUAUACAACUUUUAUUUUUGUUGUAUCCACAAAAGACUGCACAGAUAAAUGUAGACUCAAUGACAAAUAUAUAUUCAGACACUGCUUCAUUUGUAUCAAUAACAAAUAUUAAAUGUCAGAGUCUGGCUAUAUGAAGAUUAUUAAGAUGUUGCUCCUGCCAUCAAGGAGACAGAUCAUAGGAUAUUAAAGGACAAAUGGUAGAAAGCAUAGCUGAGACACAGUAAACUAAAUUGACCAGCAAUAACAAAAACACAAAUGAACAAAAUGUCUUGAUCCUUGUCUCCAACACCAUGUCUCUCGCUUCUGCAAAAUCAGUUGGUGAAAGCUUCUUAGAAUAAGGAGCAAUCAACACGGGAGUAGAAUAUCCCUAUAGGGAAGAGCAGAUAUUAAGGCUAAAAUAACAUCCUAUAGGAAUAUAGCAAAGCCCCUUAGGCUAAAGAACAAUAACAGGCUUGAGGCUUGGUGUUUGAUUGAUUAAAAUGAAAUGUGUAAUGAAGAGUGAAAGUUUGCAGAAAGCUGGACAAGAGUUUUGUGGGUCAUGGUGACAACUUGACACAAGCUGGAGUCACUGUAGAUGAGGGAAGCUCAAAUGUGCCUCCCCAUAAGAACC